CUACCAUGGCGUUCACGGGUAACGGAGGAUUAGGGUUCGAUUCCGGAGAGGGAGCCUGAGAAACGGCUACCACAUCCAAGGAAGGCAGCAGCCGCGUAAAUUACCCAAUCCUGACUCAGGGAGGUAGUGACAAGAAAUAACAAGCGGUGGCCCAGCCACCGAAUUGCAAUGAGCCGAAUUUACACCACUUAGUGAGGACCAAUUGGAGGGCAAGUCUGGUGCCAGCAGCCGCGGUAAUUCCAGCUCCAAUAGCGUAUAUUAAAGUUGUUGCAGUUAAAAAGCUCGUAGUUGGAUUUCUGGCGGGGACCCAAGUACCCCUGGUGGGUGUGCUCGGGCCCGGCCAUCCUUCUGUAAACUUUCGCGCGUCCUUCACCGGUCGGCAAAGGGAUCAGAUAAUUUACCUUGAGAAAAUUAGAGUGUUUCAGGCAGGCUUAGCCGGAAUACAUUAGCAUGGAAUAAUGGAAUAGGACUGAGGUCUCGUUGUUGGUUACGCGGACUACAGUAAUGAUUAAUAGGGACAGUUGGGGGCAUUAGUAUUUAAUAGCUAGAGGUGGAAUUCUCUAAUUUGUUAAAGACUAACUUAUGCGAAAGCAUUUGCCAAGGAUGUUUUCAUUAAUCAA
rnacentral:rRNA from 1 species